rnacentral:rRNA from 1 species
UAACGCGUGAGUAACCUGCCUUACACAAGGGGAUAGCCUUUGGAAACGAAGAAUAAUACCCUAUAAAACCAUAAAAGCACAUGCUAGAAUGGUCAAAGUGAUAGCGGUGUAAGAUGGACUUGCGUCUGAUUAGCUAGUUGGUGAGAUAAAAGCUCACCAAGGCAACGAUCAGUAGCCGGCUUGAGAGAGUGUACGGCCACAUUGGGACUGAGACACGGUCCAG